rnacentral:rRNA from 1 species
CAAUAAGCGGAGGAAAAGAAACCAACAGGGAUUGCCCUAGUAACGGCGAGUGAAGCGGCAACAGCUCAAAUUUGAAAUCUGGCCCUCGGGUCCGAGUUGUAAUUUGUAGAGGAUGCUUUUGGUGCGGUGCCUUCCGAGUUCCCUGGAACGGGACGCCAUAGAGGGUGAGAGCCCCGUCUGGUUGGACACCAAGCCUCUGUAAAGCUCCUUCGACGAGUCGAGUAGUUUGGGAAUGCUGCUCUAAAUGGGAGGUAUAUGUCUUCUAAAGCUAAAUACCGGCCAGAGACCGAUAGCGCACAAGUAGAGUGAUCGAAAGAUGAAAAGCACUUUGAAAAGAGGGUUAAAUAGUACGUGAAAUUGUUGAAAGGGAAGCGCUUGUGACCAGACUUGAGCCCGGUUAAUCAUCCAGCCUUCUGGCUGGUGCACUUGGCCGGCUCAGGCCAGCAUCAGUUCGGCGUGGGGGAUAAAGGCUUCGGGAAUGUGGCUCCUCCGGGAGUGUUAUAGCCCGUUGCGUAAUACCCUGUACUGGACUGAGGUUCGCGCAUCUGCAAGGAUGCUGGCGUAAUGGUCAUCAGCGACCCGUCUUGAAACACGGACCAAGGAGUCGUCUUCGUAUGCGAGUGUUCGGGUGUCAAACCCCUACGCGUAAUGAAAGUGAACGCAGGUGAGAGCUUCGGCGCAUCAUCGACCGAUCCUGAUGUUCUCGGACGGAUUUGAGUAAGAGCAUACGGGGCCGGACCCGAAAGAAGGUGAACUAUGCCUGUAUAGGGUGAAGCCAGAGGAAACUCUGGUGGAGGCUCGCAGCGGUUCUGACGUGCAAAUCGAUCGUCAAAUAUGGGCAUGGGGGCGAAAGACUAAUCGAACCUUCUAGUAGCUGGUUUCCGCCGAAGUUUCCCUCAGGAUAGCAGUGUUGAACUCAGUUUUAUGAGGUAAAGCGAAUGAUUAGGGACUCGGGGG